UCCUUCUCAUUCUCACAGACUGAAGAGGGCAAUCGAGUGAAGAGGGGACGCCGGACGGACGAGCGGUGAGAGGGGUCGACAGGAGUCGCCGGAGGCUGACGUGAAUCGCGAUCGUCUCCUUCAUCUCCUUCUCGUUCUCAUUCGACUGAAGAGCUGAUUAAGUUUGGCAUCUAUUUACGACAACUGUAAAUUCUGCAACUGUGGCAUGAAACAGUCGACAUCAAAAUCAAAGCACUCAAACUCUGACUGCUCAGGGACAUCAAAAAAUUCAUCAGCUGCAUCAUUCAAUUGAACAAAAGAGCCAGCCAGCCAGACAUGCUGGUUUGACGUAUCACGUAUGCCGCUUCCUGUGAUUCUUCUGCCUGCGAAUCCUCACUUUCCACAGCCUGAAUUCUUGAAGAUCGCGGUUAAAUUUUGUCCGCCUGUUCAGACUGUGAGAGCCAACCAGAAUGCUAAAUUUAUAAUGCAAAAUUUUGUCUAGCUAUUCACAGCAGAUGCCUCUGGGGUUCAUUGUCAUGCUGAGAGAACAUGUGUAAAGUGAUGCAACAUAUGCAUACUUAACCUUCACGUCGCAUGCAUUAUUUCAUGCAAAUGAAGGAAGAUGGUCAGAAAGAAACAAGAGAAAGAGGUUCCCGCUAGAGGAAGGAAGAAGAGUGGAGGUUGCCGGUGAAGAAAGCUUGGCAUUGAAGCAAAAAUGAUUGGAAUAGCAACAAAUGGAAAGAACAGUGAAUUCACAAGUUUUUUUGUUUGUAGACAUUAAAUGACAAAGGUAAUGGCUUUUACAAGGAUUUUUUCGAUGGUUGGACAUUCGAAGAAAUCAAAAGAGCAGUUCCUGAUGAACUGAAGGCAAAGGUGAUGACAAAGCUUAAAAAGAAGAAAUGUUGAUGCAACAAAUAAUGAAUGCUCCAGUUCAUGUGGGAGAUAAUGUUACAGACAAAAUAACGAGUGCAUCCCAGUCCAUGUGAUAGAUAAUGUUACAAUGUAAUGGG